rnacentral:rRNA from 1 species
AUUGAACGCUGGCGGCAUGCUUUACACAUGCAAGUCGAACGGCAGCGCGGGCUUCGGCCUGGCGGCGAGUGGCGAACGGGUGAGUAAUACAUCGGAACGUGCCCAGUAGUGGGGGAUAGCUCGGCGAAAGCCGGAUUAAUACCGCAUACGACCUGAGGGUGAAAGCGGGGGAUCUUGGGACCCGCCGCUAUGGGACGGGCCGAUGGCAGAUUAGCUAGUUGGUGGGGUAAAGGCCUACCAAGGCGACGAUCUGUAGCUGGUCUGAGAGGACGACCAGCCACACUGGGACUGAGACACGGCCCAGACUCCUACGGGAGGCAGCAGUGGGGAAUUUUGGACAAUGGGCGAAAGCCUGAUCCAGCAAUGCCGCGUGUGUGAUGAAGGCCUUCGGGUUGUAAAGCACUUUUGGCGGGAACGAAAAGGACUGUGCCAAUACCACGGUUCGAUGACGGUACCCGCAGAAUAAGCACCGGCUAACUACGUG